rnacentral:rRNA from 1 species
CAGCAGCCACGGAAUACAGAGGGUGCAAGCGUUAAUCGGAAUUACUGGGCGUAAAGCGCGCGUAGGUGGUUUGUUAAGUUGGAUGUGAAAUCCCCGGGCUCAACCUGGGAACUGCAUCCAAAACUGGCAAGCUAGAGUAUGGUAGAGGGUGGUGGAAUUUCCUGUGUAGCGGUGAAAUGCGUAGAUAUAGGAAGGAACACCAGUGGCGAAGGCGACCACCUGGACUGAUACUGACACUGAGGUGCGAAAGCGUGGGGAGCAAACAGGAUUAGAUACCCGAGUAGUCCCUGUCUCUUAUACA